GGCACCCUCCUCCCUGGCAGAACACGUGCCUUGAACAAAAGGCACUUCAACAAAAACACCCUCAAAACAUGCUCACUAUCAAGCAACUAUUCCCAGCCCAAAAGUCAAAACACAGCACUGCACCAACUACAAGAAGGAGAAACAUGACUGCCACGGCUGAACCCAUGACAUGCCUGCAUUCAGAGAUGGUGCUGGGACCUUCAGUACAGAGGAGCAUAUGGAUCGAACCUGUGCUGGAAAGAAGUCUGCUGCCAUGCUGCAUCCAAGGAUCAGCGUCAGAACUAUGCUCCACAACCGAAUUGCCUGCAUUCAGAGAAAGUGCUGGGAACCUUCAGUACAGAGGUAUGCUUUGAAAUAAAGACACUCCCCUUGAUGCCAGAACUAAAUUUUACUAGUAAAUUACAUUGCAAAUCAGCCUGUGCUGCGAAAUUAAAUACUGACCUGCUCCGCACAGGUGCAAGCGUUUAAAAAGUGC
rnacentral:lncRNA from 1 species